AUUAUUUUCUUCACAAACCCCGACUGAGGAGCUAUGAUACAGCACCCCUGGAGCAGGGAGGCUUUGCUCAGGGGCCCAGCGGUGGCUUGGCUGUGCUGGGCCUUGAUCCCUGAUCCUCCAAUCAUCAGCUUCAUUUCACCAUCACUAUUUUCUACAGUUAAUCAUCAUCUUAUAAACAGAGGCUACACAAUGGGGAAGACUGCUGACCUGACAGUUGUCCAGAAGACAAUCAUUGAUACCCUUCACAAGGAGGGUAAGCCACAAACAUUCAUUGCCAAAGAAGCUGGCUGUUCACCGAGUGCUGUGUCCAACCAUUUUAACAGAAAUUUGAGUGGAAGGAAAAAGUGUGGAAGAAAAAGAUGCACAACAAAACCAAGAGAACUGCAGCCUUGAGAUGUUUGUCAAGCAAAAUCCAUCCAAGAAUUUGGGUGAACUUCACAAGGGAUGGACUGAGGCUGUUGUCAAGGCAUCAAGAGCCACCACACACAAACAUGGCAAGGUUUUUGGCUACAGUUGUCGUAUUCCUCUUGUUAAGCCACUCCUGAACCACAUACAACAUCAAGAACUGGAGUGUUGCCCAUUGGUCUAAAUUCCUCUUUUCAGAUGCAAGAUUUAUUUUUUUAAUUCAAUUCAAUUCAAGUUUAUUUGUAUAGCGCUUUUUACAAUGGACAUUGUCUCAAAGCAGCUUUACAGAACAUAAACAUAGAACAGAAGGUAAACAUAAGGAAUAAUAUAAAGAAGUUAUAUAAUAAAAAUUCAAGAUAUAUAUAGUUCACAGUGUGUAUGUAUGUGUUGCACACACAGAAGAGACGGAGACUUCUGGUGGCACAUAUAUUGUUUUAUUGCUGAAAAAGAACUGUAAAAACACAAAUAAAGAUAGAAAUUAGUUAUCUUCCAA